rnacentral:rRNA from 1 species
ACGCUGGCGGCAGGCCUAACACAUGCAAGUCGAGCGGCAGCACAGAGGAACUUGUUCCUUGGGUGGCGAGCGGCGGACGGGUGAGUAAUGCCUAGGAAAUUGCCCUGAUGUGGGGGAUAACCAUUGGAAACGAUGGCUAAUACCGCAUGAUGCCUACGGGCCAAAGAGGGGGACCUUCGGGCCUCUCGCGUCAGGAUAUGCCUAGGUGGGAUUAGCUAGUUGGUGAGGUAAUGGCUCACCAAGGCGACGAUCCCUAGCUGGUCUGAGAGGAUGAUCAGCCACACUGGAACUGAGACACGGUCCAGACUCCUACGGGAGGCAGCAGUGGGGAAUAUUGCACAAUGGGCGCAAGCCUGAUGCAGCCAUGCCGCGUGUAUGAAGAAGGCCUUCGGGUUGUAAAGUACUUUCAGUCGUGAGGAAGGUGGUGUUGUUAAUAGCAGCAUCAUUUGACGUUAGCGACAGAAGAAGCACCGGCUAACUCCGUGCCAGCAGCCGCGGUAAUACGGAGGGUGCGAGCGUUAAUCGGAAUUACUGGGCGUAAAGCGCAUGCAGGUGGUGGAUUAAGUCAGAUGUGAAAGCCCGGGGCUCAACCUCGGAACCGCAUUUGAAACUGGUUCACUAGAGUACUGUAGAGGGGGGUAGAAUUUCAGGUGUAGCGGUGAAAUGCGUAGAGAUCUGAAGGAAUACCGGUGGCGAAGGCGGCCCCCUGGACA